rnacentral:rRNA from 1 species
GACGAACGCUGGCGGCGUGCCUAAUACAUGCAAGUCGAGCGAUGAAGCUUGGUGCUUGCACCAAUUUCAAGAGCAGCGAACGGGUGAGUAACGCGUGGGGAAUCUGCCUUUGAGCGGGGGACAACAUUGGGAAACGAAUGCUAAUACCGCAUAACAACUUUAAACAUAAGUUUUAAGUUUGAAAGACGCAAUUGCAUCACUCAAAGAUGAUCCCGCGUUGUAUUAGCUAGUUGGUGAGGUAAAGGCUCACCAAGGCGAUGAUACAUAGCCGACCUGAGAGGGUGGUCGGCCACCUUGGGACUGGGACCCGGCCCAAACUCCUACGGGAGGCAGCAGUAUGGAAACUUCGGGAAUGGACGAAAGUCUGACCGAGCAACGCCGCGGGAGGGAAGAAGGGUUUCGGAUCGUAAAACUCUGUUUGUAGGGAAGAACGUUGGUUAGAGUGGAAAGCUCAUCAAGUGACGGUAACUACCCAGAAAGCGACGGCUAACUACGUG